ensembl:snoRNA
AUCCUUUUGUGGUUCAUAAGUGUGAUGAUUGGGUGUUCACGCACAUGUGUGACAUUUGCCACCCUCAAACCUUGUUACACACUGGCAUAUUACCCGUCUGACG